UGCCAGCCGCCGCGGUAAUACGGAGGGGGCUAGCGUUGCUCGGAAUUACUGGGCGUAAAGGGCGCGUAGGCGGAUUUCCCAGUCAGGCGUGAAAGCCCCGGGCUCAACCCGGGAACUGCGUUUGAUACUGCCAGGCUAGAGUAUGUUAGAGGAAAGCGGAAUUCCGGGUGUAGCGGUGAAAUGCGUAGAUAUCCGGAGGAACAUCAGUGGCGAAGGCGGCUUUCUGGAACAAUACUGACGCUGAGGUGCGAAAGCGUGGGGAGCAAACAGGAUUAGAUA
rnacentral:rRNA from 1 species